AACGUAGGAGACUAGCGUUAUCCGGAUUUACUGGGCGUAAAGCGUGUGCAGGCGGUUCGGCAAGUUGGAUGCGAAAUCUCCCGGCUCAACUGGGAGGGGUCGUUCAAUACUACCGAACUUGAGGGCAUCAGAGGAAGGUGGAAUUCCGGGUGUAGUGGUGAAAUGCGUAGAUAUCCGGAGGAACACCAGUGGCGAAGGCGGCCUUCUGGGAUGAUCCUGACGCUCAGACACGAAAGCUAGGGGAGCGAACGGG
rnacentral:rRNA from 1 species